CAGGAGAAAAGUUUACAGUAAAAAAAAGUCUACACAAGAAAUGUUUAAGUUAAAGUUUUACAUUAGAAAGAUUUACAGUAAAAAGUUGUGUAGAAAUUGUUACACUAGAAAUGUUUACAGCAAAAAGGUUUACAAUAAAAAAAAAGUCCUCGGUGGAGCCACGUCCUCAGCAGAGCAAGGAGGCUGAGCGAUGUCCUCGGCUGCGCAGGGAAGCGGAGCGACGUCCUCAGCGGAGCAGGGAGGCGGAGUGGCGUCCUUGGCUGUAUAGGGAUGCUGAGCGGCGUCCUCAGUCACGCAGACAGGCUGAGUGUCGUUCUUCACUCUACUGGCUGAACUCGGUUGGCUGUGUCACCAGACUCAGAUGUACACAGAGCUUGGUUGGCUGUGUCAUCAGUCUCAAGCUUGAGCAUAACUUGGUUGGUCAUGAUGUCUGCUUCAAGCAUGAGGAGAACUUGGUUGACUGUGUCAGCAGACUCGGCGUGAGCUGAAUUUGGUUGGCCAUGCUAGCAGACUCGGGUGUAAACAUGGUUUGAGAGGCCGUCUCUUCGACCCCAGACUGGAACUUCCCGUGGGAGGUCACCUUGUCGACCCCGGACUGGAACAUGGUGUGGGAGGUCGUCUCGUCGACCCCGGACUGGAACUUGGCGUGGGAGGUCACCUCGUCGACCCCGGACUGGAACUUACCACGGGAGGUCACCUCAUCGACCCCGGACUGGAACUUGGUGGUGGAGGUAGCCUCGUCGAC
ensembl:lncRNA